rnacentral:lncRNA from 1 species
GGAAGUAUAUAUCUGAGGAGAAAAAAAUAAGAUGUUAUUAUAUUUGUCCCAAUUGGUUUUGGAUGGUGCGCGUUGUGUCAACUGGUGGAAGAAAGUUGGUCUGACGAGAAAGAUUAUUAUAUUCCUUUCCUUUGCCUCCUUUUCUCAGACAGAAAGCUCUUUUGCAAAUUUGCGUGGUGGGAGUCAAGAUAAAAUUCCCUAUUUUAUUUUCGUGGCCGAAUUCUCUGCUGCUGGCCAUGAAAAGGAAAUGGAAAACGAAUAAAAGGGGUACCUGGCCAAGAUGAGCAUAUAUUGAGGUUUUGACGGCUCUUCCAGAUCGACGUGCUGCUUUGCAUCUGAUGCUAAAGUUUAAGGUUCAAAUUGCCUUCUUUCAUGUUCCGUAUGUGUUUCUCCAAGCUCUCGUUUUGGCUAACCCGUAAUCGAGGAGAUGGAAACGUCCAGGGUUUUGAAGCAUCUGUAACAACCAAGUGGAGUCCGGCCGUGACGAGAGAUGGAUCAAAAGUUCAAAACCCAACUGUGCACAGUAAUUAAUAUUCCCUCGUUUUCAUAAUGUUCGUAUGUACUUUAGCUCUCAUGCGUGACAAUGAACGGUCGUUAUUUAACUUAUAUAGUUUGUGUGAUCACCUUUAGCUUUACUUAUUACUC